CAGUCGCCGCGGGAAUACAGAGGGUGCGAGCGUUACUCGGAAUUACUGGGCGUAAAGCGUGCGUAGGUGGUGGUUUAAGUCCGUUGUGAAAGCCCUGGGCUCAACCUGGGAAUUGCAGUGGAUACUGGGUCACUAGAGUGUGGUAGAGGAUAGUGGAAUUUCCGGUGUAGCAGUGAAAUGCGUAGAGAUCGGAAGGAACAUCUGUGGCGAAGGCGACUAUCUGGGCCAACACUGACACUGAGGCACGAAAGCGUGGGGAGCAAACAGGAUUAGAUACCCGUGUAGUCCCUGUCUCUUAUAC
rnacentral:rRNA from 1 species